AUGCUAGAUCGUAACUUGAAGAUUUUGGUCAACGCCAUCAUCGUCCCUCUACUAGCAACUUUAUUCUGCUUCAUUGUUUGCUUUGUAUUGAUCAGAGCACUCUAGAAAGAAAAGGCUGGUUUGCAGGACGAGCCUAACAUAAAUGUCAACGAAGAUGAAUUAGUUUGGGGGUUAGAAGGAAAGGAUUCGGAGUUCAUUUUUUUCGACUUCUAGCAAAUAUCGAAUGCUACAAGUAACUUCUCGGAUGAAAAUAAAUUGAGACAAGGGGGCUUUGGCCCUGUAUACAAGGGCCAGUUUCCAGAUGGGAGGGAGAUAGCUAUUAAGAGACUUGCUUCAAAUUCUGGACAAGGUUUCAUAGAGUUCAAAAAUGAAGUCCAACUCAUAGCCAAGCUCCAGCAUACAAAUUUGGUUAGGCUCUUGGGAAGUUGCUCUCAACGGCGGGAGAAAAUGGUGAUAUACGAAUAUUUUCCAAAUAAGAGUUUGGACUUCUUUAUUUUUGAUGACACAAAAAGGGCUUUACUAAAGUGGAAUAAACGCCUAGCAAUAAUUGAAGGCAUAGCACAAGGGCUUCUAUAUUUGCACAAACACUCUCGGUUGCGGGUCAUACACAGGGAUCUGAAAGCAAGCAACAUUCUAUUGGACAAUGAAAUGCAACCUAAAAUUUCAGAUUUUGGACUUGCAAAGAUAUUCAGCUCAGAUGAUAUUGAAGGAAAUACAACAAGGAUUGCUGGGACAUAUGGUUACAUGGCUCCUGAGUAUGCUUCUGCUGGAAUCUUCUCCACCAAAUCUGAUGUAUUCAGCUUUGGUGUACUAAUUGUUGAUAUAAUUAGUGGGAAAAGAAACUCAGGUUUCAACCAACAAGGGAGCUUCUUCAACCUUCUUGGAUACGCAUGGAAGUUAUGGAAGGAAAAAAGGUGCCUCGAGCUCCUAGAUGCAUCGCUGGUUUUGGAUAUUUCUUCAUCAGAGAUAAUGAGAUGCGUUAGUAUUGCACUAAGCUGGGUGCAAGAGAAUGCGGAUGACCGGCCCACCAUGUCAGACGUGGUGCUGUUAAGCAGUGAGAGCAUGACCCUUCCUGAACCUAACCAUCCGGCCUAUUUCCAAGUAACGGUAACAAUGGAAGAGCCAUCAAGCAGUAAUGAUAUGACAAUAUCCAUGCUAUGUGGUAGAUAG
rnacentral:rRNA from 1 species